GUCAUAAUUAACGUUAGUUUUCAACGUUUCUUCUGUCUCUAUGGGUUCUCACUUUCUCUGUCUCUCUCAUCAAAAAUCCAUGGCUCCUCUCUCUCACCUCAACCGAGUUUCUCCCUCACUCUCCCUAGCGCUCCACUCUCUCAACCCCGACUGCACCUCCACCAGUCUCUUCACCUCCACGCUUGCUCUCUACCUCUCCCUCAACCCUGUCGUCACCGCUUCCCACAUUCCCAACUCAAACCCAUAAGCAAAAACAAAGAAAAAACAGUACUGACUGAGAUCCCGACCCCACACACUCGCACCCUUUUUAGACCCAGAUCAGAGAGAGAGUAAGGGUUGGAGUUUGGAGAGAAUCGGGUGUUUAAGUGAGAAUUUGAUGCUUUUCAGACCCAGAUCAGAGAAAGUAAGGGUUAGGGUUUGGAUAGAAUUAGGUAAGAGAGAAGUUGAUGCUCAAUCUCCAUGGCUACAGCUAGCAGCCACCAUGUUCCGCUCCACCAAUUCCGGCGGUGGUUCCGAUAAGCAAGGCACUUGCUGGAGCUGACAGAAAAGAUCUGAUGAGGAAGUUGCCAAAAUUUAUAUAUGAUGAGGAGAAAACUUUGGAGAGAACCCGCAAAAUAUUAACAAAGAAGACUGCUCAGUUGAAUUCAGCCAUUGACGAUGUUUCUGCUCAGCUUCAUGGGGAUGAUGCCCCUAAUGGAGCUACAGUGAAUUUAGAUGAAGUUGGAGCUUCAAUGUAACAUAAUAUUUGUUGUAAUUGCCAUAUAAACCAUCACUAUUUACGUGUGAUUAGUACUGGAAAAACAAUGUUUUGAAUCCUUUAUCCCUUUUAAUUUUCUAUUCAGUUAAUAAAUUCAGGUUGAUUGUACUUAUAUAAAAAAUUUACUAGAAAUGAUAGCAAAAUAUGAUUUGUUUCACAGUAA